rnacentral:tRNA from 1 species
GGACUGUGGCUCAGCGGUAGAGUGCUCUCCUAGCACGGCAGGACCCGGGUUCGAUCCUCAGCACCA